CAAAACAGCUCGACUCACUAAAGCCAUCUCCAGUGCGCGUGCACUGCAGAGCAGACAGAAGAGGAGCGCGCAGAGGUCAGACAAACACUCAGCUCAUCCUGAGCUCUACAGACCGGAGGGAUGUUUACCAUGAAGCCAUCAAAAGGAAGCGGGGAAUAAACGCACCAGCUGGAAUAUAUAUCUUUUCCAUUAUUCUGUGUUUUAUUUUUUUAUGUAUCUCUGGUUAUUUUUUUUUAUUAUUAUUUGUAUUUUUGAUGUCGAGGACUAGAGAGCAUUCCAAACAAAUAUACUUUUAUCUCACUUUCCUUCCCUCCCGUUUUUUAUCAAAACCUCCCUGCGUAAAGGACUGACAGGCAUGUGGUGGAAAGUGGGGCUCGUGCUGGUGAUGUGCUCGGGUCUCACGAGCAGCGAAGCCCGAGAGGAGCACCGGGAUUCGCCUCCGCGCAACACGAUGCUCAGAGCGCCCGUGGAAACGCUGGACUUUGGCUUCGUGCCGUCGGUGACGUACGAAACGCACGCGUAUUAUGAACCGGGUCCCAUCGGUAUUGUUUUCCACAUGGUCCACGCGUUUCUGUACGUGGUUCAACCAAACCCUUUCCCCAAAGAUCUCAUUGUUAAAAUGGUCCAGCAGAACAUGGGAGGAAUCAAAGGGGACGAUUACAAGAAGCCGGAAAAUGUUGUAUUAUUACUACAGGCGAUCUACUAUGAGCUGGGCUUCAUAUUGCUGUCGGUUCUGGGGGUGAUAUUUGUGCUGUUCGUGCCGGUCGUGGGCCUGUUUUUCUGUGUGUGCCGCUGCUGUGAGAACUGUGGAGGUGAGAUGCAUCAGAGACAGAAGAAGAACGGCGACUGCCUGAAAGGUUUCUACAUGACCACACUCAUCGCUACCUCUGUCUUCCUCGCAGUGGGAGUGACGAUCGCUUACGCAGCAAAUCAGAACAUCACAAAUCAGAUCAAGAGCACCAGACGCCUUGUCAGCUCUAACAUGAGAGACCUGAAAUCUUUUGCGAACAGCACACCCAUUCAAAUAGACUACCUCGCUGCACAGUACACAACAGCCAAGAACAAAGUGUUAUCAGACUUAGACAAUAUUGGGAAUCUGCUGGGUGGACAGAUUCACAAUCAGCUGGAGAGAGAAGUGGUGCCUGCUUUAGACAACGCUCUUCGCAUGACAGCAGUUAAAGUGGAGGGUGCUAUUAAAGCCAUGCGGGAGACCAAAGAGUCAUUAGAGAGUGUGACCACAUCACUGGAGAUCCUGCAGGAAGGGACGGGCAGACUCCAGAUCUCUCUUCAGUCUGAACGCGUGUCUCUCUCAAACACACUCAACGACCCGGCCUGCUCUAAUGGAGACGUAACACACACCUGCAACACCAUCCGCGGGACACUCAGCCAGCUCGUGCUCAGUGCAAACUUUCACGGGUUGCCUGAUGUUGAGGCACCUUUGGCCAGUCUGGAUGCUGUGCUUCAAACAGACCUCAGUGAUAUCGUACAGAAGGGCUACUCUUCUUUUAACGACACACCGAGGUUGAUCAGAGAACAGACAAAAGAAAUUUUGUCGGCUUUACCCAAAGUGAAAGGGCUGCUGGAUAAGUCUGGUGGAGAGAUAGUUGCUUUCACAAAGAUGUUCCCGGUUGAACAUGCACUUGAGAACUUCACAAAGUUCCUGACAGAGAGCCAGAAGAAUAUUGAAGCGUACUAUCCUCAGAUCGACCAGCUGGACUUCUACAGAUGGAUUGGAUGUGUGGUGAUUUGUUGUAUGGUCGUGCUGGUUCUGACUUUUAAUUUCCUGGGUCUGUUGUUUGGAUCAUGUGGUUAUGAUAAAAAUGCCACACCAACCACUCGUGGCUGUCUGUCCAACAGCGGAGGAAACCUACUGAUGGCUUCUGUUGGCUUCAGCUUCAUCUUCUCCUGGGUGCUCAUGGGAGUUGUAGUCACCUCGUUUAUUGUUGGGGGAAACGUAGAGAAGCUCGUUUGCGAGCCGCUGGCUAACAGACAGAUUUUUAAGAUAAUCGACACACCAUAUAUGGUCCAUCCUGCCAAAAAGAACUUCCUUCCUGGGAUGCUGUUCCAAGAUCCAAACAUCGACCUCACUGUGGGCAGUAUGUACAGAGAUUGUUAUGAGAAUCACGGUUUGUAUUCAGCGCUGCAACUGGAGACCAACUUCAACUUCAACAAGUUUCUCAAUGCCACAGUGUAUAACCUGGAACUGACCGAGAUAUUUAACAGUGUGAGUGUGGAUCUCCAGGGGAUGCUGCUUCUGGAACAGGAGGGCAAAGAUAACCUCAUUGACUUUGCUAACACAGGCAUUGGAGAAAUCGACUAUCAGGCUUAUCUAACCGAGGUGAAUAAAGGAGUGACAGUUGUGGAUCUUUUGUCCUACGCAAAUGAACUUGAAGCUCAAGCAGAACAGCUGCCACGUGGGGCUCUCGAGAAUGCGCUCAAGGGUCAUGCCAGCAGCAUCAGACAGAUCCACAAAGAACAAGUGGUGCCUAUGGAACAGGCCAUGAAAUUUGUGAAAGCAAGGGGCACUUUAAGUCAAAGCAUCAGACUGCUUCAGAAAACAUCCAGAGAACUACCUAUUAAAGUGACAAAUGUCUUGAAUGCCAUUGAAGCAGCAGAGUACCUCAUCGCCAACAACGCUUCACAUGUGGUCAAACAGGAGGCUGAUAAAUUCAUUAAGAAACUUCUGGGAUAUUUUUCACAAUAUACGGAGUGGGUCAAGCAUUCUCUGGACAUGGAGGUCGCCCAGUGCAAGCCCAUCAGCAACAUCAUUGACUCGCUGGAGAUCGUUGGCUGCGGCUUCGUUGUUGACUCAGUGAACAUGUUCUGGUUCGGUCUGGGAGGAUGCUGUUUGUUACUCAUUCCCAGCAUCAUCAUUUCUGUAAAACUGGCCAAGUUCUACCGCAGGAUGGACACCGAGGACGUCUUUGAUGACUAUCCAUCCUAUGACACAAUGAGGUGGUAUCCUCGGGCCUCAGCCCCCCCAAGACAGCCUGACUGGUGACACAGAUACACACACACACACUUUCACACGGGGUAUGCAACUGUGCAUGCAUCCUGCAGCGGUGCUGAGAACUGGAGCUAAAGAGCGUUUAGUAAGAUUCCAUGGACGACAACCGAAGAUGGAAAAAAGGGAAUCUAAUCUGUGAAAAUCAAUCUAGUUUCUUACAAUAAAACAUACUUGGACCUAAACUAAAGAAUACCACGCUUAUUCCACACACAGUUUAUUGUACAUGGUACAGCAAUGUGUUCUUUUUAUACACUUUCAACGUGUUUUUGAAAGUUUUGUAUGUAUUUUGUUAAAAUCUGUUUUAUAAAACAUGUCCUUUAGACAUAAUUGUGGGCACAUCUAAAUUUUGUAAUGGUCUUUUUAACAUUUGAUAUAAAGGGGCAAGAAAGCUCUGCGAUGUCAGUCUGUGUACUGUUGCUUAUGGAUCACGAAACGGUGUUUCUGAACCAAACAUCUCAAGUUUGAAGGACAAAGCAGAUUAAGUAUUUACAUAGAAAAGUGGAGCACUUCAUUUAUCAUGUUAACUUUUCAGUUCUUCUGCGCAAUGUUACUUUUAGUACAUUUUAUUGUUCAACAACCGAAUGUUAGCUUCAGAAAUGUUUCUUAGAGAAAAUUAUGAAAACUAUGUUGAAUGCACUGGAAAAGUCUUAAUGUCUUAAAAGACAAAUAAAGCUGAUGUCCUAAAAGA